rnacentral:ncRNA from 1 species
AGACCGUGUAGCUCCGCGGAUUUGGCGCGGGGGUAUCCACGAUCCCGCCAUGAACGGGAUGCGACCACGGGGA